ACCCUACGGGAGGCAGCAGUGGGGAAUAUUGCGCAAUGGACGAAAGUCUGACGCAGCGACGCCGCGUGAGGGAUGAAGGUUUUCGGAUCGUAAACCUCUGUCAGGAGGGAAGAAAGCGCAUGGCGCCAAUCAGCCAUGCGUUGACGGUACCUCCAAAGGAAGCGCCGGCUAACUCCGUGCCAGCAGCCGCGGUAAUACGGAGGAUCCAAGCGUUAUCCGGAUUUAUUGGGUUUAAAGGGUGCGUAGGCGGAUUGAUAAGUUAGAGGUGACAUGUCCGACCUUAACUCGGGAACUGCCUCUAAUAC
rnacentral:rRNA from 1 species